rnacentral:lncRNA from 1 species
AAAAAAAAAAAAAAACCUUGUUGAUAUUUAAUUUAUGGAUGAUCUAGCAAUAUUAUUUUCUCUUUAUUUAUAGACAUUUUACAAAGCUUUGGCUUACCAAACUUUUUUUUUUAAAAGUGAAACUUCACGUGAUGAAUUUUCUUAUACUUAGCUGCCCACUCUUUAAAUUUGUUAAUCUUUUUUCCUAUUCUUUGAACAGUACUAUCCCAUCGAUCUCUGUAAGAAAAAAAUUAUUCGUUUGUAUCAAAUACAACCUAAGUUUAAAAUGUUUAAAAUCAUGCUUGAUGUUCCGUAUUUAUUAAAAAGAAUUAACAAUUCAAAAUAUUGUCAUCUUGUCACUUGUCAGUAUUUUGGCAUGCCUGUGAUGUUUAGAAUUUUACCAAAAAAUAGAAAAUAAAAUUUUGAUGUUUAGAAUUGGUUUUGGUUUAUAUGUAAUUAGGGGUUGGCGUUAGGUAUUCGAUUUGGUAUUUUUAAAAUUUGGGGUUAGUUAUUUGGUAAUCGAUAUUUGAUUAUAGAUACCACAUAUCAUGCAUACUUAUAAACAUCGGUUCAAUAAUCCGGUAAUCGAUAAAUUAAAUUUCGAUUCGGUAUGGUAUUUAGUAAUAUCAUAUUAAAGUUGGAGAUAUACAAAUAUACGUUUAAACUUCAAAGAGUAUAUUUAAUAGAAAUCCUAUUUAGUAUUCUUUUUGUUGUUUUUUAUAAAUUUAUUACCAAGGCCCAAGAGAUUCUUUGGAAUGACUAGUACUAUUGUCUAUUUGGUUGGGUAUACAUAUAUGUGUGUGUGGUGUGUAUGUAUGUGUGUGUAUAUAUGGUGUGUAUAUCUAUAUGUGUGUAUAUCUAUUUUUUUCAAUUAUUAUUUAAUUAUUUUUAUAAUAUAUGACUCUAAAAAUAUAUGGGAAAGGGACUCCUAAAAUAUGAUCCUAUAAUAUACGGGAACAAUCCUGAUAAAAUAAAAAAAUGUAAAGAAAUUAAAUGACUAUUUUUAGUGUUAGAAAAAUUAAUAUUUGUUUUUGUUUUUUGGAUUUUGUCGUAUUUUUUUCCUUUCAAAAAUAUGGUGAUGGAAGUGCAUUGUUUGUUAGUGCUUUUUCUAAGAUUCAAUUGAGCUUGGACAUUCAUCCAUAAAGAUCAUUAUUAUUUCUACGAUUCUCUUUCUUUAGGGCCGUACAAAAUCAUCUUAUUAAAUCACCUUAUUUGUAUAAUUAUAAUUCAUAAAGAAUAGCAUACGUAAAAUUUUAUAUUAUUUACCUUUCAUUUUUUUUUAUUCCUUUGACGUGUGAUCUUUUUUUCUUCUCCUAGUUUGAUUUCUUCUUUCUUUCCUUUUAUUUGUAUGAUUUGCAUUCUUUUGUUACGUCAAUUUCUUUCUUUUUUUGUCCUUAUAAUUUUAGUUAAUUUUAAACUAUUAAAUAUAUAAAAAAAAAAGUAAAAAUAUAAUUUUAUCUAAAGUAAAGCCUGCUAGUGAAGAGCAAAAAAUUCUAUCACUUUUUUAAGGAUCUUUCUAAUUUUAAUAUAUUAUAGAUAUAGAUAUAUGUGUGUAUACGUGUGUAUUCAACCCUUAUAUAAGUAGGCAAUCACAAUUUUUGUCUUAAGUGCCCUUUCUAAUAAGAUCGUAUGAUUGGUUAUGACAUAAUCGAGCCAGGUUCGAUUAUACACCAAUUUUAUUUUUAGAAGAUCUUCUGAAAUAAUCAAAACGAUAUAAUUAAUUAAAAAAUAAAAUAUAAUCGAUCAGAUUAUAAGCUAACUAAUGUUUGCCAAAAGGUAUACUUAGGUCAUGCAUCGCGCACUCAUACAUUUUUGUUAUAACAACUUGAACUCGUAUUAUUGUUAUCGUUUAUUGUAUUUUUAUUAUUGCACAAUUUUGUGGUUGAUUAUUAUUUUUAUAGUAAAUUUUGCAGUGUUCCUUGUUACCAUGUUAUCUUCUUUGUAUUCCUCUUCUCCUGAAUUUUCUAUAUUUGAGCGGACAAUCUUUCGGAAACAACCUCUCAACUCCCACAAGGUAAUGGUAAGGUUUGCGUUUACCCUCCUCAGACCUCACUUAUGAAAGUUUUAUUGAGUAUAUUAUUAUUAUUAGUAGUAGUAGUAGUAGUACUACUACUACUACUACUAAGAUAAAAAGUAACAUGGGGGUUUGGGCCACAGGUGACAAAAGAGUUUUAAAAUGAGGCGUAGGUGACACAAGUUUUAAUUAUUAGUUGGAGAUGACAAUUACUUUAUUAUGUAUUAAGAAAGUUGGGGAAGUUUUAAAAUAAUCCACAAGUUUUUAAAUUUACACUUUGAUCCCAAUGUAUACCUAAAAUGACGGGAAACAGAGGGGAAAAAAGGCGUAUUUCUCUCUUUUCUCGUCCAUUGUUGUUUUCUCUAUCUUAGCAAUUUUUGUUGUUAAUUGUUUCUGUUUCUGCUGCUUUAUUCAUCAUCUUCUGCUUCAUCUUCUUCUUGUCGACCAUUUGUUGUUGUUGUUGUUGUUGUUAGUACAACGCUACUGCUGCGAUCUGACCAAUUUCUUAGGUCAAAUUUUGUUUACUACGUCACUUUCCACUUUAGCAUUACUUCAUAGGUUACUUUGGUAAGUAAAAUUAUGAUUUUUAUUCGCAUUUGUCAUCUGGGUACACUUCUAUUUUUCCAACAAUGGAUGGAACCCCGAUUAUGAAUCCAGCACAAGUGCCCACAAUUUAAACAGAUCAAUCAUCUGGUGCAUCAGAUGAGUAAUCUGUUGCAUCAGACUAUUUAUCUGUUGCAUCAUCGUAUUAUCUGUUGCAUCAGACGUAUUUAUCUGUUGCAUCAUCGUAUUAUCUGUUGCAUCAGACGUAUUAUCUGUUGUAUCAGGAUGUAUCUGUUGCAAUGAAUGAUUAAUCUGUUUGAAACAACACAAAUCAACCCCUGCCACAAACCCAACAGAUAAAUCUUGCUAUUACUGCUGGAUUCUAAAUUAUUCCUUUUUACGUCGAAUCGUCGUAACGUUUGUUGAGAAGAUAAUAGACAGAAUGAAAAUUAAAUAUGGAUUAAAACGUGAAAGAUCAAACAUAAUUUAUUUAGUAAACAAAUAAAAAUACAUAUAAUAGACUAAAAGAAAAAUAAUAGUCUAAUUAUUAUUAUUAUUAUCAGCAUCAUCAUUGCCAGCCGGCUAAUCUUCAACUGGAAGUAGCAAGGCCCUCCUCAGCCUGCAUAUCUCGCGGAGCAUUCUUGAUCUAAAUCCUCCCAAUUUCCAUUGUAGAUCACGAAGUUGAUUUCGAAGUUCAUCCACGGCGUCUUGCAGAAAAGCAUCAUUCCAUCCUGGGUCAGCCAUAAUCUUAUUUUCUAGAGUGUAAUAUGAAAGACAAGAUGCAAUAAAUAAAUAGAGUGUGUAUUUGGAUGAACGAUUGAGUAAGGACAGACCUAUUUAAAGAGGAUUGAAUUUGAAUGAGAGGCAAAAAGGCGUGACUAUUCACCUCCAUACAUUAAUUAAAUUUUGGAUUAAAUUAAGAAAAUAAAUAUUGUGAUAUAAGUCAUGACUUUUUAGAUUAUUAUUAUUAAUUAGUCUUUCGAAGAACCAUUUUUAUUGAGUUGUGAAAACAAAUGUUAUAUCUGUUACAUCAGAUAACACAUCUGUGACAACAGAUAUAUUAUCUGUUGCAACAAAUAUAAAAUAUGUUGCAUCAGAUAACAUAUCUGUUGCAACAUAUAAUCUAACUGUUCACCUCCAUUUAUUAAUUACAUUUUUUAUUAAUGUGAAAAGUAAUGAAUUAAUUAAAUUAAGAAAUAUUGUGAUAAGUCAUGACUUUUCAGAUUAUUAUUAUUAAUUAGUUCUUUCCAANNNNNNNNNNNNNNNNNNNNNNNNNNNNNNNNNNNNNNNNNNNNNNNNNNNNNNNNNNNNNNNNNNNNNNNNNNNNNNNNNNNNNNNNNNNNNUAUAUAAUAAAUAAUUUAAAAACAAAUUCAAAAAUAAAAAUGGUGAAAAGUCACGAUCAGUUAUUAAAAUUGUAGUUAUAAAUUGUGUUUAUUAUUUAUUUCCUUAUUAUUUAUUUACGAAAAAAAUUUCAUAUUGAAUAAUCGAAACUCCGAGUCAUGUCUUUCUCUUUUCACCCUCUCAAUAACAACAAUAGCCCUUUUUUUAUUAAUAACCGCCAGGUGCAACAUAUGAUCGAUCUGUCGUAGCAGAUUAACCUCUAACUGUUGACACAAAUUGCUGCUCAAUCCCUACCACCAACCGUCAACAUGGAACUCACAAAAAGGGAACUUGGUUCCUUAUUUUGAGUCAGGUAUGUACCAUCAUUUUCAAUGCAUGUAUUUCCUGAGUAUGUGUAAAACUUAAGCAUUGGUGAACCUGAUCCAUCCUUAAAAACCCAAUUCUUUAAAAAAAAAAAAAAAAAGUUCAAGGGUUUUGAAAUUAUCCUAGCUCCAAUUCAGGGGGAAACUAGUCCAUUUCCUUUAGUGUCAUCAUUAUUUUAGCCACUUCAUUAAUCUGAACUAGGUACCAUGAACCCUAAACCCUGAACCCUGAACCCUGAACCCCUCACCUUUCAAGUGUAACUAGCCAUUUCUUGGGGGAACAACUUUCUUAGGAACAAACUAAUAUCAGUUUCCUUAUUGUUGCAAAACCCAUCAUUGUUACACAAAAUUUGAUGAGUCCUUUAAUCAUAUCUAUUUUUUAUUAACCGGGGUUUGAAAGCCAUCAAGAAGAAGUCAUUUGAGAAAAAAAUAUCAAAAAGGAGUAAGAUCUUUGUGCAUAUGAACCAGGUUCUGGAAAAAAAAUAUAUAGGUCUCAUCAUUCAGUUGUUGUUUCAUAUACAUCUUGCAAAUGCACAAUCUACUUGAUGCAGAAAAUACUCAGCUAAAGGCCAAAAAAAAGAAGUGCAAAAUGGUAUGGAAAAGCAUUCCACCUCCUCUUUCUUAGCCUUCGUACCUCUUCCUCCAGUAUAUAUCCUCGAGUCUCUUGCCUCCAAUUUUUUUGUGGUGCUUAUGUUUUGUCUCAUACUCAUGAUAUGAUAUGCUUCUGAUUGGGGUCCUAAGGGAUUAAAUUGGUACAUGUCUACUCGAUUGUGUUUCAUCUUUCCAUAUCUUGAUUGUGUAUGUAAGCUGGUUAAUAUUCUCAGAUUGACUUACCUAAUUGUUACAAAGGGAGUGUGCUGAAAAGUAUUACUCAAGGGCCAUGAGUUAAAAUGAUAUUGCACUCAUUGUAUAUUUAUUGAGUUAUUUGGUUGUUGAUUUUUAAUGAUGCCAAAGGGGGGAAGUUAUAUGGUAUGGAGACAAGAAAUAUAUGAUGCAUUAUUUGUCAUCAUUAAAAAGGGGGAAAUUGUUGGAAAGUAGGAGAAUUUGUAGUUUUGAUGAUUGACAAAUAAGAACCUGGUUUACUACUUGUUGUCUUUGUAUGUUGUAUCAUAUGAACCAGGUUCGCAGAACCAAGUGAGGUCAAUUGAUAAAGCCAACGUGGGGGCAUCUUUGGGAGGUCAAACCACAAACAUGUGAUGGCAUUUAUGAGGCCUUAAAUGCCUUGUCCAGAUGCUGGUCAGAAAAGCUAGCAACAAGAUCUAAUUAGUUGGCAUUGCACAUGGAAAAUAAAGAAAAGUCUUGUGUGAAAUCUGAAAGGAAUCAAAUAGCCAACAGUAAAGAAAAAGUUCCAACUGGAACAGGUUGGCUUCCAUAAGAAAAAGUCUUUUGUGAUCUAAAGGGAAUUAAAGAGCAGCAGUAUAUAUGCAACAUUGCUGUCAAUUAUCAAAGACAACCUAUUGCACAUCCACAAAACAUAUAAUCUUGAGAGCAAUAGUCAUCAAAGCUAAAAAACUGCACGAAUUCAUCACAGCAAAACAGAAACCUGGUUCACAGUUUCUGUUCAAGUUUGCAGUAUUGAAAGUUGAAGUUUUGAGUAAUCUAAGGCUAGAGUUAGUAGUCUUGUUGAUAUCAUCAGUUGUAGUAAAUUGAUGAGUUUUGAGUCUUUAAUAGGAUAGAUUAUGAGUUGUGAUAUUUUCUAUUAUUGAACGUUGUGAGUCUAAGUAAUAAGAAGUGGGUUUGACUUCUUAUUCUUGGGGUGUUGUAACAAGAAGCGGGUUUAACUUCUUGUUUGUGAGGUGUUGUAACAAGAAGCGAGUUUGACUUCUUGGAGUGCUCAUAUAGUGGGUUGAACAGUUGUAGUAAACUGUUGAGUUGUGAGUUUAGAGUUAGGUUCUAGGAUUGCGGGGUUCUAAUCUUGAACAAAGCUUUUUGAAAUUAGUGGACAUUGGAGGUGAAAUCCUACACAGUGUAGGUCAUGAUUUUUUACUCCCUUGAGCAAGGAGUUUUCCACGGUAAAUUUGCAUUGCACUUUAUUUUACUGUUUGCAGUCUACUGAAAUAUCAGAAACUAGGUUCCUGAUACGUGUGGUGGGAUUAGUUAAUUUUCUACACAUAAUCUAGGGGAUUCUCAAUUAAUUUAAACAUGUUCAAAAGCAAGCUAAGAUUAUACCGCCUUGGCAUUUGAAAUUAAGAAAUUAUCCUUGAAGCUUAAAAGCUAGCUCAAAGAAUUUAAUAUUUUUUCCAACAUUAGUGGGGCGCCUAGGCUAUGCCGAGCCGUGGCCAGACCGCAGCGGGCAUCGUCCCUAACCAUCAAGGCCCCAGAGACCCUUGUAACAGCCCAACCUACUAGUGAUAUUGUCCGCUUUGGGCCCAGGCCCACACGACUUUAAAAUGCGCAACUAGAGAGUAAGGCUUGACACAGGAUCGACUCUGAUUCCAUUCUUGUCACUACCCGAGCCGGGGACUUGGCCGCGACGGGCAUCCCUAACCACCAAGGCCCGAGAAACCCCUGUAACAGCCCCACCCACUACUGAUAUUGUCUACUUUGGGCCCAAACCAGUAAGGCUUUAAAACGCAUCACAAGAAAGUAAUAUUCGCUUACUUAUAUACCCAGCAUCCCUCCUGUGUUUUGCCGUUAUGGGACUCCUUAUCCUAAGUUGGGGUGUUACACGUUUCCAGUAAGAUUUUUUCCAUACUCAGGGGUCGAACCCUAGACCUCUAAUCAAGGGUGCAAUAGUUCCAUCACUACGCCACAACCCAGGUUGAUUCUUUGGAAAACUUAAUUAUUGCAUUGUUCAUUUGUUGUAUUUCCUGGAAUAUUGUUGUAUGCUUAUUAAAGGUUAGACAGUUUUAAUAGUAAUUAAUCAUAUUGGAUUAAUUAUAAUUAGCACUAAAAACUACAAUUAAAAAACUUACACUCAAGCACUGCUAGUGAAGACUCAACCAGUUCCCUUGCAAUAACCUCUGAUGAUAUAAUUAGAAGAACCAAAGAAAAAAUAAUUAAAACAUUUGCCUUGAGUGCCAUUUUGGAUUCAAUAAUAAAAAUACUUAAUUUAUGGAUGAUCAAAUAAUAUUAUCUUCUUUCCUAUUUAUAGAUAGUUUAAAAGAUUUGGCUUACCAAACUUUUAAAAAUAGUGAAACUUCACAUGAUGAAUUUCCUUAUACUUUAGUCGCCAACUCUUCAAAUUUGUUAAUUCUUUUCCUUUACCUACUUUUUUUUUUUCACCUAGUGUUCGGUGUACGCGUUGAGGCCUCGACUAAUUUAGAUCACGCAUUGCAGUGCUUAUUCUGAGGAUAGUGCUCCCAACAGAAUUUUCUUCAUACCCAGAGCUCGAAACCGAAACGUUGGUCAAUACUAUACCACCUAUUUUAAUUUGAUGAACAAACACAUAGUAUAUGUUACUUGACACUUAUCGACUUAACACACUCCUAAGAAAAUUUUAAUUAGAAAUUUAUUUUACUAAAUUAAUUUUAUUAAUGAUACUUUUGAACUCCAAAUUUUAGUUAUACUACCACCCUAUAUAUGCUCUUUUUUGAAAACAUCAACAUAAACAUACACCUUAACUUUUCAUAUUUGCACCGAUUCCCACCCUGCAAAGUAAUUACAAGAAUUCCAACGAUAUAUCAGGAGCUUAUUAUGUAUCUUGACAGAUCUAAAAUCGGAAAAAUGUAUCAAAAAUUAAUUUUGUAUCUUUACAAAGGAAAAAAUAUAUCUUCAUUUGAUGUAUUGUGUAUCUCAACAGACUCGAAUUAAAAAAGUAUAUCAGGAGCUGAUUAUAUAUCUUUACAAAGGAAAAAAUGUAUCUUCGUUGGAUGUAUCGGGAGUUAAUUAUGUAUCUCGAUAGAUCUAAAAUUAUUUUUUUCAGUAAUUAUAUAAAAUAUUAAAAAAAAAUUGUAAUUAAACUUCAAGCUAUUGGAAUUUAUGUUGUUUGCUCUUAUUUUUUUUUUUUUUUGGGGGGGGGGGGGGGGGUGGUGGUAGCUAUAGGAUUUAUUUGUAUGCACAUAUUAUAUUAGUGCGAUUAAACUAGCACCUAAAUUUUAAACCCCAAUAAAUAGCCACUCGGAAAACUAAUUUCAACCGAAUAGCCACUCGGGAAACUAAUUCCAACCGAAUGGUCAUUGUUUUGGUACUUCACAAUAGAUGUUGUGUAAUUAUUUUUUAAGGAUUUCAUGUUGAAUUUUGUUUUCUUUUAUUUUUUUAUCAAGGGAGAAUUCCACUUUUCUUUUGUUUUCAUGUGAGCACUUGUAUUAAUGUUUUUUUUUUUUCUCCUUUUCUUUUUUAUAGAUUCUACUUAUUUUUAUUCUUUUUAAACAAUUGAAUAAUUUUUUUUUCUUCAGAUUAUUUUGCAUUCACCAACAUUAUUAAAAUAACAUACUAAUUGUUUUAUUUAGUUUUACUUAUUUAUACAAUAAAAUACAAUAUCAUAUACUUUUAAUAUAAUACAGUUGUUAAAGAUAUAUAUUUAUAUAUAAUAAUGAUACAGUUUCUAUACAUAUACAUAUUCUAUAUAAUAAUUCUAGCAUUUUUAUACAUAUUUUAUACAAUUUUUAAUUACAAUUAUUAUUUAGAUACAUAUUUUAUAUGACUUUAUAUAGUUUCUACAUGCAUUCUAAAAAUGUAUCAAUCUAAUAUAAGAGAGUAUCAAUUGAGUAUAUAGACACUGUAAGUGUAUCAACGUAUUAUAAAAGUGUAUUAAUGUGGUAUAAAAGAAUAUCAAUUGGGUCUAGAGACUGCAUGUGCUUGCAUUGAAUUUCCUUUCUCUUUUUUAAAAAGUGUAUCAAUAUAAUAUAAAAAGUGUAUCAAUUGAGUAUACAUACUGCAUGUGCCCAAUAUUGGGCCGAAUGGCUAAAAAAGGAUAUUAAAUUGGGGAAAAAAUAAAAUAUACAUCCUUAGAUUGUAUAUUGCAAGUCAUAUCAAUACUUCUUGAAUUGAAUUGCAACUAAUACCAAUUUCUGAAUAAAAAAACAAAGAAAAAUUAUCUUUUUAAUGAAAAAAAAUUCAUAAAAUAAAGCAGUUUGUUAUUAAUAGGUGGAUAUCCAUCAUACCUUAAUAUCUCUCUCCUCUUAAUUUUUUUUUCUUUAUUUUUUCCCUAAUUUGUUAGUGCAUAAUUUCACAAUUCACUUUCACUAAAUACACAACUCUCUCUUCCUCUUUUCAUUCUAUUUUAUUCUAUACUUUUGCAGAUAUAUUUUUUCAAAAUAGUGAUUUCAUCUUUUUACCAAAAUAUUCUUUCUUACUUUUUUAUUAUUGAAAAAUUAGAUGUAUCACCAUUUUUUUUAUAAUUCUUGAUUAUAUUUUUUCCUAGUAUGAAAGAUGACAGUUUUCAUUCAACCUUAAUUUAAUAUGAAAGUAAAUGAGAUAAAAUCCUGUAUGAAAUGGAUAUAUAAACUGAUAUUAAUUAAAUUAAGUAUCACAAUUCAUAUAUAUUAGUUUGUAUAUCCAUCACAUACACCUUACAUACAAUUGUGAUAUAUAAGAAAUUACUUUAUAAACCAAUUUCAUUCAAUUUAUAAUCUAAAGUAUAUAUUCUUAACUGAAUAUCACAAUCCAUAAAGUUGGUAGAUGACUUGGUAUAAAAAAAUAAGUAAAAAAAUUUGUAUAUCUAUACCAUUCAUCUAAAAAUAAAAUCAAGCAUUUGUAUAUAAGAUGUUAUUAAAUAUAUAAAAGUUAUUCAAAAGAAAAGGAUAUAACAAUUCAUUAUUAUCUAGAUUUUAUAUAUUAAUCGUUCGAAAAUUUCAUUAAAAUAUCUGUCUUCUUCUUUCUACAAAAAUCAGAAAUCAAAUUCUGAGUGAAACCCAAUAUUAUUCAAAUUUUUUUAUCUUAAUCAUUAAUUUUUUUUAUUAAAAUACAAAUUUACAUAUUUUGAUUGCAACAUUGAAAAAUGUAUUAUUCAGAUUUUUGACUUUUAUUUCAAUAUCAUUUUCAUGCAUUAAAAAUAUUAAUAAGUAUGCAUCAUUUCUUAUAUAUCAUUUUACAUUUCAAUUUUAUAGAUCAAAAUUCAAAAAUAAAAAAUCAUUUUAUAUAUGAUGUUGGUAUAUAACAUGAUUUAAAAAAUUAAAUGAAAUGUAAUCAUAUAAAAAGUUUGGGUAUAAACCUACUUAUUAAAUAAAUUUACAUUAUUUAUUAUGGCAUUUUUUAUAUGAAUUACAUACACUGAGACCCCAAUAAGAAGUACCAUUUAGUAAAUGAGAUGAAUAUGUAAUUAUUUAGUUAUCAUUUUUUAUUAGCAGAUUUUUUUUGUAUCAGUUUCAUAAUUAAGGUAGAUGUAUUAUUUUUGGAAAAAAAUCUUAAACCAAUAAAGUAGAGAUAGAGGAAAAUAAUGAAUAGUUGAGACUAUAAAUUAAUGCUAUUUUUUCAGAAUGGAAAGAAAUGUGUAGUAAUAAAUGAUUAGAAACAGUAGAAAACUUUCAGAUUAAAUAAGUUAUUUAGUUUAUUUUUACUCCAUAAAAAUAUGGUAAUUUAUGUGAGUGUGAAAGAUAACAUACAAAUUUAGGAGAUAUUUUAAUUGAUAUAUAUCCAAUAAACAAAUUAUAAAAAAAAAAAAUUUUUUAAAUAUUUUUUUUGAAAACUGCUACAACUUGCAAUUAAAAACACAAUUCAAUAAUUAUCAAAAAGUAUUGCUACAACUUGCAAUAAAUUAUCUAAAAAAUAUAUAAAGGAUAAUUUUCACUAUUAAAUUGGGUUGACUGGCCAAGAUUGUCCACCUUUUCAAUUAUGAGUCAUUUUUUAAAAAAUAGUCAGCCCAUGUCCUUUCCCCCUUUUUUCUAAAAAUUACACAACUACAUAACUUAUGUUUCUAAUAUUACAAAAAAUUUCAACUCCCUAAACAUAUUAUAAAAAUUCCAACAUAUACACAGAAUGUUAUGAAUAUGUCGGCUAUGUUGUGCAUAUUAAUAGGGAGAGAGAGUAAAGUAAUUAAAAAAGUAGGAGAGAAUACUUCAAUAUUUAUGUUAUUUAUACUUUUUUCUAAAAAUUCCUAAAUUUUGGCUUAAAACCCAAUUGAACGUUUCCUUUUAUAGCCCAAAUAACGUUAUGGACUAAUUAACAAAGAGAAUUUAAAUAAUGACCACUUAGCCAUUGCACAAAUGGCCCAUUUCGGCGUUUCGCACACCAAUUGAAAUCGAACCACCGCCUUCUGUAUUUUCCAUCAAUUGCUUCUUUGUUAGUUCUGUUUUGCCGCCAUCCAAGGGUUCUGUUUUCAGAUUUAAAGGUUCAAAAAUUGAGGUAAGUUUUAGUUAUAUAUAUAUAUAUAUAUAUACAUACUGUUUCAGAAGUGUUUUUAAGAUGCAGUAGAAAAUAAUUUUCUUUGAUGCAUUAGAAAAAAAUGCAGUUGGUGUUAGUUUCACAUGAUUAUAUUCAAUUUGUACAUUGAUGCACUGAAUGUAUUUGAUAAUAUGCCCAAAUCAAUUGAUUUUUUUUAACUGUUUCGCUUUUGACAAUGAAUUCUGCAACUUCUUACAUUAGUAGACUUGGACUCCGGGCUCCAUGGAAUAUUGAAUUGAAAUAAUAUAAUGUGAUUAAAGUACAAAAACAUGAUUUUUGGUGCUUAGUAUUAAGUUUAUCUAAAUGGUAGCUUGAUUCGGGUAAAAGAUUUCAACUUUGUUUGUUUUUUGCAAGUUCCUUGGUAUCUUGUAAUGGAAACUUUGUCCAUUUUUUUCAUUUUUCUUUUUUGAGGUUUUGGUUUGAAUUGAAUUCAUAUCAUGUGCUUUCAUGAUUUUUGAUACAUAAUAUUAAGUUAACUUCUUUGCCCCAUGAGAUAACCAUUUAGCAUUCAAAAGUAGCAGUGAGGUUGCUGAAUUUUCCAUGUACACUCUUUUUCCUAGCUUUGUAGGACUCUAGCCUUCAUGUAGCUGCAUUCUAUGCUCUUACUUUUUUGCCUCCCGAGAUAUCACUUUCAUAUUAGAAAGCAACAAUGAACAUUUUGCUGAAUUUUCCAUAUACAUUCAUUUUCUAUCUUUGUAGGACUCCAGCCCCUUGAUAUAGCCGUGUUCCAUGCUUUUUAGCCUAGUAAUUCAGCUGGAAGUCCAAAUAUUUGAGUUACUUUACCUCAAGCUGAUUAGAACCAAUUUGUUACUCAGGAAUGCUUUCAAUGUUUGCCAGAAUCUUUCUUCAAAGGACUUCAAAGUCGUCUGCAUUCACCAACAGUGCCAGCACGUUUAGGUGUCUUAAAACUAUAGCACCUUCCAUUGACCAGUGCAGCAAUCCUUUCAGCAGCAAAGGUAGUUGUGGCAGAAGUGUGUCUAAUGAUGACUACUUUGCCACAAUCCAUCACAUAUCUAACAUUGUUCGACGAGAUAUUUACCUGGAGCGGACCCUUAACAAGAUGCAUAUUUCAAGUAUUGUUAACUCUGAACUGGUGUACCGUGUCCUUCGAAGUUGUUGCCAACAGGGUAUUGAAUCAUUUCGCUUCUUUAACUGGGCUCGGACUCAAAACCCUCAGUAUGAUCCAACUACCGUCGAGUUUGAGGAACUUCUUAAGACCCUUACCCGGACUGCCCAUUGGGAAACAAUGUGGAAAGUAGUCCAGCAGAUGAAAGCCCAAAAUAUUCCUAUCUCACCCUCCAUUGUUUCAUUCAUUAUUGAACACUAUGGUAAGCGUGGUCUGAUUGAUCAGGCGGUCGAGCUCUUCAAUCGGCUCAAGAACUUUGACUGUCCACAAACCACCGAAGUAUACAAUGCUAUGCUUUUCGCGCUCUGUGAGGUCAAGAAUUUCCAAGGGGCCUAUGCAUUGAUUCGGAGGAUGAUACGAAAAGGUACUGUUCCAGAUAAACAGACAUAUUCUAUUCUUGUAAAUGGCUGGUGUUCUGCAGGGAAGAUGAGAGAGGCACAAGAGUUCUUGGAGGAAAUGAGUCGAAAGGGAUUCAAUCCUCCUGUACGUGGGAGGGACCUUCUAAUUGAUGGGUUGCUCAAUGCUGGUUAUCUAGAAUCAGCUAAGGGAUUGGUGAGAAAAAUGACAAAGGAGGGGUUUGUGCCAGAUGUUGGAACAUUCAAUUCUUUGGCAGAGGCUAUAUGUAAAGCUGGGGAAAUCGACUUUUGCAUUGAGCUUUUCAAUGAUGUUUGUAGAUUGGGGCUUUGUCCUGAUAUUGAGACUUAUAAGAUUGUCAUAAGUGCUGCAUCAAAGGUAGGUAGGAUCGAUGAGUCAUUUCAGAUUCUUCAUAGGUCAAUUGAAGAUGGACACCGGCCAUUUCCCAGUUUAUAUGCUCCAAUUCUAAAAGCUUUCUUCCGGAGAGGACAGUUUGAUGAUGCAUUUAGCUUUUUCAGUGAUAUGAAGCUGAAAGGGCAUCCACCAAAUCGACCACUUUAUACCAUGCUGAUAAAGAUGUGCGCUCGUGGAGGUAGAUUUGUAGAGGCUGCUAAUUAUUUAGUAGAAAUGACCGAGUUAAAUCUGGUGCCUAUAUCACGAAACUUUGAUAUGGUCACAGAUGGAUUGAAGAAUUGUGGGAAGCACGAUCUAGCCAAAAAGAUCGAGCAGUUGGAGAUAUCUAUUAAGGGCAUCUAAAUUAUUGUUGGCUCUUGCUCAAGUGUUCCCCCUAUCACUGCGCUCGAGGAUGAUUAGAGUCCUAAAGUUGAAAAAGGUAGCUUUUUUGCUUUACUUGCUUUUCUCUAAAUCGGGAAAUUAAGAAUAUCCCGAUACUUUGUUUGCUUAUUUUCGUCUAAUUUGUUGAUUUCAAAACCUAUUAUUUGUACUAAUUCUAAGCUGAUUUUUACUUUGUUGAUCAGGAUCUACACUGAAUUUUUAUUUCAGGAUAGUUGUUUGGUAAAAAUGUCAAUCAUCUUAUUUGUCUUCUGCAAUAUAUAGGUCUUUUAGACCAGUCUUAAAAACUCACUCUUCUAUGCAAACUAAAGAUAAUUCUGAUAAAAUGUAAAACGGCAAUCUAAAAUUUUUAGGUCAUUGGUCAGGCUGGUAUUCAGGUCGGAAAUGCUUGCUGGGAACUUUACCGUCUCGAGCACGGCAUUCAGCCAGAUGGCCAGAUGCCAAGUGACGACUGUCGGAGGAGGUGAUGAUGCAUUCAACACCUUCAGCGAAACUGGAGCUGGAGAGCAUGUCCCAAGAGCUGUCUUUGUGGAUCUUGAGUCCACUGUCAUUGAUGAAAUGAGGACAGGAACAUACCGCCAGCUCUUCCACCCUGAGCAGCUGAUAAGUGGCAAAGAAGAUGCAGCCAACAACUUUGCCCACGGCCACUGUACCAUUGGGAAAGAGAUAGUUGAUCUCUUCCUGGAUCGCAUCCAUAAGCUUGCAGACGACUGUACUGGUUUUCAAUUCUGUUGGUGGUGGUACUGGUUCAGGUCUGGGGUCACUGCUGCUGUAGCGCCUCUCAGUUGAUUAUGGAAAGAAGUCCAAACUUGGUUUCACAAUUUAUCCCUCACCACAGGUCUCAAUUUCUGUUGUUAAGCCUUACAACAGUGUCCUGUCAACUCACUCCCUUCUUGAGCAAACUGAUGUAUCAAUCCUUUUGGAUAAUGAAGCCAUUUAUGACAUCUGCAGGCGUUCAUUGGACAUUGAGCGUCCUACCUACACCAACCUUAACCGCCUCAUCUCACAGGUUAUAUCUUCUCUGACAGCUUCUUUGAGGUUUGAUGGUGCUCUCAAUGUUGAUGUGAAUGAAUUCCAGACCAAUCUCGUCUCCUAUCCCAGGAUCCAUUUUAUGCUUUCCUCUUACGCCCGUCAUUUCUUCUGAGAAGGCCUAUCAUGGGCAGCUUUCAGUUGCAGAGAGAUCACCAAUAGUGCAAAAGGAUGCUUUCCUCUCGCCAUGCCAAGUACAUGGCUUGCUGUCUCAUGUUCCGUGGUGAUGUGGUGCCAAAGGCUGUUAAUGCUGCUGCUGUGGCCACCAUCCAAUUUGUUGAUUGGUGCCCCACAGGAUUCAAGUGUGGUAUCAACUAUCGGCCACCCACUGUUGUACCUGCUGGUGACCUUGCUAAGGUGCAGAGGGCUGUGUGCAUGAUUUCCACCUCUACCAGUGUUGCUGAGGUCUUCUCACGAAUUGACCACAAAUUUGAUCUUAUGUAUGCUAAGCGUGCUUUUGUGCAUUGGUAUGUUGGUGAGGGCAUGGAGGAAGGGGAAUUCAGUGAAGCCCGUGAAUAUCUUGCUGCCCUUGAGAAGUUGGUGCUGAAGGCGAUAAUGAGUAGUACUGAGCAAUGAUGUAGUCUCUUUUUAUUUUCUUCAGUUACUCGUCUUUAUGUUGCACUACUGAAGACACAGUGUGUGUUGAAUUGUGGUAUCAAAAGAUGUGUUUGUUUUGAGUUAAAAAAAAAGUCAUUGCAAAGGUUAGAAGAUAAUCUAACAUCGUGCAUAAAACUCUACAAAUAUAUGAGCGAACAUUAAAUUCAAAUUUAAUAUUAUCCGAAAGAAUAAUUUUUCGAAGACUAUAUAUUUGCACAACUUAAAAAAAAAAACACAACAUAAUGCACAUGCCAUAUUCUGCCCUUCACACACCCCCAUUUCCUAGAACUAUACGGGUUAUUAGUAUAUUUACCCGACUAUUUUUUUUUUUUUAAUAAAACUUACAUAAAUUUCAACAAAUUUAUUCCUAAUUACUCCGUAUAUCUACUUUUUACUAAAUUAUAAAUAAUUUCGAAUGUAUAAUUAGCAUCCAGAUACAUAAUUUUAAAGUUGAGAUACAUAAUUUUGAACUUAAUUAAGAAUGUAAUUAUUAAUUAAUUCAUUUUUGUUCGGAUACAUAAUUUUCAGAGAUAGAGAUACAUAAUUUUGAUUACUAAGAUACAUUCAUUUCUGAAACUAUAUGAUCGAGAUACAUAAUACAUUAAUUAGACCAAAUGGGAUAUACAUAAUUAUGUAUGUGAAAAUUUAUGGGCUUGUGGAUGUAUCCAGUUGUUUUUUGAAAAAAAUAAGAGAUUUAGGUAAUUAAUAAAAAAGCCAGAUAUUAUAUGCAAUUUUAAAAAGAUAAAUUAUGUUGAUAUUUAUUUAUUUUUAAAUUUUUUCUUUUUGAGUAUUUAUGUUAAUUUUCCUUGGCGGUAAAUCACCUCAAACCAUGGGCUUGUUAUUACAUUAGGCCCAAAACUAAAAUCUUCGGGUUAAACCCAAAUAAAAACCCAAAAUCUCUCUUCUCUUCUCUACUAGUCUUAAAAUUACAGUUAUAACCAAAAAGAAAAAAAAAAAAAACAGCUCAAAAUCUUCAGCUUAUUAUAGUAUUUUUUUUUCUCAAUAUAGAAAAACAAAUAUUCAGUUUUCUAAGCAAUUAAUCAAAUGUCACAAUUUUGGAAACCAGGAAGUGAAAGGCCUCGACUUGUUGAUGAUGAAGAAGGUGGCGUUCUUCUCUACGCUACCUCUUCUUCCUCCUCUUCCUCAGGGUAAUUUUUACUUUUUUUUUGUUUUUUUUUUGCGUAUACAUAUUUUAUUUAGACACUUGAACUAAGUCUUGUUCCAAUUAAAUUGCGCCAAUUAUACACUUUGCAUUUAAAUAUUGAAAAAAAAUAAUUGUGCGUGUUAUAAUUCAUCUAUUAAAUAGUUAAGUUAGCCACGUAAAAUAUGAUUAUGUCAUUUAUUUUAAUCAUAGGCAAUGGGAUUUUAUGGCUUAUUUAGGCGAAUUCAUAUAGUUAAAAGAAAAUGACAUGCUUAAUGUGUUUUAAGCUUAACUAUCUAACAGACGAAUGAGAACAUAUGCAAAAAAAAUUCAAAAAUUUGAAUGGAAAAUGUCUAUCGGAAUACUUUAUUAGGAGUUGAGAUGUUUAAUUGAAAUAGGAUGUAGUUCGAGUGUCUAGAUGCAAUAUUCAACAAGUUUAAGGGGCUGUUUUUGUGUUAAAUAUUGAGAAAAAAAGAAUUACACGUGUUUUAAUUGAUCGAUUAGAUAGUUAAGUUAACCACGUAAAAUAUGAUUAUGUCAUUUAUUUUAGUUAUAGACAAUGGGAUUUUACAGCUUAUUUAGGCGAAUUCGUAUAGUUAAAAGAAAAUGCAUGCUUAAUGUGUUUUAACUUAACUAUCUAACAGUCGAAUGAGAACAUAUGCAGAAGAAUUUCAAAGUUUGAAUGGAAAAUGUCUAUCGGAAUACUUUAUUAGGAUUUGAGAUGUUUAAUUGAAAUAAGGCGUAGUUCGAGUGUCUGGAUGGAACAUUCAGGCAAGUUUAAGGGGCUGUUUUUGUGUUAAAUGUUGAAAAAAAAAAAGAAUUGCACGUGUUUUAAUUGAUAUGAUAUGUCAUUUAUUUUAAUCAUAGGCAAUGGGAUUUUACGGAUUAUUUAGGCGAAUUCAUAUAAUUAAAAGAAAAUAACAUGCUUACUGUGUUUUGAAUUAACUAUCUAACAGACGCAUGAGAACAUAUGCAGAAGAAUUUCAAAAAUUUGAAUGGAAAAUGUCUAUCGGAACACUUUAUUAGGAGUUGAGAUGUUAAUUGAAACAGGGUGUAGUUCGAGUGUCUAGAUGGAAUAUUCAGACAAGUUUAAGGGGCUGUUUUUGUGUUAAAUAUUGAAAAAAAAGAAUUGCACUUUAAUUGAUCUAUUAGAUAGUUAAGUUAACCACGUAAAAUAUGAUAAUGUCAUUUAUUUUAAUCAUAGGCAAUAGGAUUUUAUGGUUUAUUUAGGUGAAUUCAUAUAGGUAAAAGAAAAUGACAUGCUUAAUGUGUUUUAACUUAACUAUCUAACAGGCGAAUGAGAACAUAUGCGGAAGAAUUUCUAAAAUUUGAAUGGAAAAUGUCUAUCGGAAUACUUUAUUAGGAGUUGAGAUGUUUAAUUGAAACAGGGUGUAGUUCGAGUGUCUAGAUGGAAUAUUCAGGCAAGUUUAAGGGGCUGUUUUUGUGUUAAAUAUUGAAAAAAAAAGAAUUGCACUUUAAUUGAUCUAUUAGAUAGUUAAGUUAAUCACGUAAAAUAUGAUAAUGUCAUUUAUUUUAAUCAUAGACAAUGGGAUUUUACGGCUUAUUUAGGCGAAUUCAUAUAGUUAAAUGAAAAUAACAUGCUUAAUGUGUUUUAACUUAACUAUCCAACAUACGAAUGAGAACCUAUACAAAAAAAUUUCAAAAAUUUGAAUGGAAAAUGUCUAUUGGGAAUACUUUGUUAGGAGUUGAGAUGUUCAAUUGAAAUAUAACUUAGUUUGAGUGUCUAUAGAAUAUUCUAGCUGGUUAUGUGUUAAACCAUUUUUUUUGCGUAUACAUAUUCCAUUUAGACACUCGAACUAAGUUUUGUUCCAAUUAAGGUGUGCCAAUUAGACACUAUGCAUUUAAAUAUUGAAAAAAAAAGAAUCGCAUGUGUUUUAAUUAGUUAAGUUAACCACAUAAAAUAUGAUAUGACAUUUAUUUUAAUCAUAAGGCAAUGGGAUUUUACGGCUUAUUUAGGCGAAUUCAUAUAGUUGAAAGAAAAUGACAUGCUUAAUGUGCUUUAACUUAACUAAACGUAUGCAAAAAUUGGAACACUUUAUUAGGAGUUGCUUAGUUCAAUUGAACUAUAGCUUAGUUCGAGUGUUUAUGGAAUAUUCUAGCUUGUUAUGUGUUAAGCCAUCUUUUUUUUGUAUAUGUUGUUAUUUAUGUAAUUUUAUGUGAUUUCAAGAUUUGGGUAUGGGAGUUUAGAGAAGCAAAGGCAAAGGCUGCCUGUGUACAAGUACAAAACUGCUAUUCUUUACUCAGUGGAGACUCAUGCUACUACCAUUAUUGUUGGAGAAACUGGAAGUGGAAAAACCACCCAAAUUCCUCAGGUUAGUGUUCUUGGUUUUAUGUAAAGUUUUUUUUUUUUCCUCCGGAAACAGCCUCUCUACCUCUCCGAGGUAGUGGUAAGGUCUGUGUACACUCUAUCCUCCUCAGACUUCACUUGUAGAAAUUUACUGGUACGUUGUUGUAUGUUAAUUUUCUAUUUUUUAUAUUUUUAGUACGAUGUGAAAUGUCCUCCUUGGUAGAAUAUCUGAUUAAUCAAAUGUUUGACAGUCUUGAACUUGUUGGGGUCGGCUAUAUGAAUCUACAGUCCUCGAUAUUAGUUGUAUCUUUAGUAUUCAGAUGUUUCAUAAUAGUUAGACUAUUUUGCAUUUGAUCAGCACCCUUCUUCCAUUAUCCGGGACUAUGGCGGAGCUAUGAAUUUAAUCUGGGAUUCAAAAUAUAAAGAAGAAAAUACACGAAGAAGCCAUGAGAUCUCAACAAAUAGUAUAUGUACGUAAAAAAGAAAAAGAUUGGCCUAUCUACACAGUGUAGGUGUCAGUUGACUCGCCUUGGAAAAAGGUUUUAAUAAGAGGAUUCAAGAAUAUGCAUGAAUGCAUCUUUGUCACUACAGCUUCACUUAUAUCAAGUGGAUUCAAAAACUUAUAUACACAAGAAAAGAUUUACUCUUUUUACACAAUAUAAUUUUCUAACAAACUUCCUUAUAUUUGGUUUUGGGGGAGGUUUUUUUUGAAGCAUGUGAUGUGAUACUUACUACUCUCUCCAUCUCAAUUUAUGUGAGGUAGUUUGAUUCAACAUGAAGUGUAAGAAAGAAAGAAAGACUUUUGAAACUUGUGGUUUAAAACAAGUUAUAGAUAUUUGUAUGACUAUAAAUCAUUCCAUUAAGGGUAAAAUGGACAUUUUAAAGUCAAAUUGUUACUAAAGUAGAAACGUGUCGUUCUUUUUGGGACUGAUUAAAAAGGAAAGCGAGUCAUAUAAAUUGAGAUACAGGGAGUAAUAAUUUUUAGUUGUGAAGAGUGGAAGUAAUAUGUCGGUAGGAGCAAGAGAUAUAUAGAGGGAGAAAACGACUUAGCCUCAUAAUGCAGUAAAUUGUUUUCCCCUUGGUUUAAAAUUCUCUAAUUGUUUUGGCAACCAAACAUUAUAAAUAAUUUUACCAAAAAACGGUUUUUUUAUGAAACAUAUUAGUGUCAAGUGGAGCCAUAGUUGUAGUAUCUGUAUUCUUUGUCUAGAAGAUGUGAAUGAACAUCUCGUUUUAGUUUGUUUAGAGAAUUGAACUCUUCUAGUAACUGGAGAAGUUUAAUGGUACUUGGUACAUUUUGAUGUGUGCAGUACCUGAAAGAAGCUGGUUGGGCUGAGGGAGGGCGCAUGAUAGCUUGCACUCAACCAAGGAGACUGGCCGUCCAGGUGCAGUAUUCAGUUCCAGACCUCUAUAUGCUCUUUAAUAAGUGAAUUUCUGUGUCUUCUUAUAUGUUUGUCUUGGUAUCUUUCUAAAUCAAGAGUAAAUGCAAGUAGUAUGGAUGGGUGCUUGUGAGGGACAGAUAUAUUUGUACUUGUAACUUUGUUUUUGAGACUCCCCUGGAUACUUGUAUAUACAGUUAAAGUUUUCUGUAGUUACUCUACUUUCUUGGUCACGAAAACGAAAAUUUCUACUGUUGACAUCUUCUUGGCCCAAACAUAUGAUAUUGAAGAUCAACACAAACAUCCUGCUCAUAAUCUUUUGGAUCACAAUGUUCCUUAUGGUUCAGUUAUUUUGAAACGCAUCUUUCAAGUCUCAAUCUAUUAUGGUGCAGGCAGUUGCUACAAGAGUUGCCGAAGAAAUGGAUGUUAAACUUGGUGAGGAAGUUGGUUAUACUAUUCGAUUUGAAGAUAUCACGAAUGAGGUGGGAGCUCUUUCUUUGUACUUACCAUUUUGUUGGGAUAAAGGAAAUAAUCUUUUGCUUCAUUAUAGGUAUUUUUAGAGUUCAUAAGUUCCUAAAAGAGCAGAUAAAUCUUUUGACAUCUGCUGGGAUUGCAUAUUUCAAGGUGUUAGGUCUUAUGAUAUUUUGUCCAGGAAAGAAAUUUAGUUUUUUAGUGCUGCGUGACAAUGUUGACCUGGAAUAGUAAUGGUGGUGUUCUUGCACUACAGGAAUUAACUAGGGUCAAAUUUCUUACUGAUGGAGUUCUGCUGAGGGAAAUGAUGGAUGAUCCUCUGUUGAGUAAGUAUAGGUACUGUUUAUGCCUUGGAAGGGUUCGACUGCCUCCUUUUCUAUUUUCUUCAUCAUGUAGUACUACUUUCAUUCUAUUAUUUACGCCCUCGUUCUUGACUUUUGAGCUUCAUGAAAUUCAAGUGUCAAUCAUUUCAAUGUUUAUUGGUAUAUUGUAUUUGGUAGAGAUGACUAAUUUUUUUUAAAAAAAUGGCCUGCCUGUUGCAUUAAAGCUCCAGCUAUGCAGGGGUCCGGGGAAGGGCCGGACCAUAAGAUGUCACAUCAAAUUGGAACUAAUGUAAAGUGCACAGAUUAUAGCGUAAAUCAUUUCAAUGUUUAUUAGUUUGAAUUGUUUCAUCCAAGGGCAUGACCUAGUUGUCAAUGAAGUGGGUGAGAAUCAUGGGAGACAAGGUUCAAAUUCUAGCAAAGAUUAAAAUGCUAGGUGAGUUCUUAGUUCUUUCAAGCAUUGGUGGACAGAGUUACCCCUUACGUAUGUAGGAGGUAGCAAGUCCCCGAUGAAAUAGUCGAGAUGGGGCAGGCUGCCCGAGUACCACCGUUUCAAAAAAAGUAUUAGUAUGAAUUGUUGGAGUGGAAAUUUUGCCAUUCUAUGAAAGAGGUCAAAGCUAUAGAAUGUACUAAACUAGGAAGUUGGUCAACAAAAGGGACAAAAGGAUUACAGUUUUUCAUUGGUUGCGUCACUGAUCCAGUUUAUCAUGCAUGUGUUGUUGGGCUCUUACACUGAUCCAAAAGUUAAGAUGUGACCUGCAGUGGUAUAAGUGUCUAUUGUCUAGAAUCUUGUUUGUUCUUCUCACAAUUCAAGAGCUACAAAUGAUGUAGCCAGGUUGAGGUUCCAUAAAAUGCAACUAGAUGCUAUUGGGAUUGAUCGUCUAGAUUCUAUCUCGCAGGGAACUCCUUGAGAUUAAGCUCUGGUUGGGGUGAAUUUUUGUAUUUUAUAGUUAUGGCUAACUUUAGACCUAUAAUUUGCAAGUGCAAAGAUAAAUUGAUGCCAUUAGUAGGAGUUGUGUUGUUAGAGGCCUAUCCUGCGCAUUGCUAAGAGCUGAAGCUAGGUGCAGCAGGGUUUAGGGGUUCGUCUCUCUUAGUUCACUCAUUAUUACUAAAACCAAGGUGGUAAAGUUUGUGCUGAGUGCUCAGAUGUGCUAUCUUGAUAGGGCAACACUUAACAAUUAACAUAGUUGUCAAAGUGAUAUAUUAAUUGUUAAGGAAGCAUUAUGGAUGACAAUGUUAGUGAUUUGUAAUAGGAAAUCAGAAAUUUAAUAUAAGAAAAUUGUUCACUAUUCUGAAAAAAACUUAAAAUUAUCAAAUUCACAAAGCAAUAUUAUUUUGGACUUGAUUAACAUGUUUAUUUUUACAUGUCUCACCUGAUUGCAAAAAUUUCAAUUUCUUAGACCAAAUGACCCUUUUUUGUAUUUUAAAUUAUCUUUCUUGUGUUACAUGUUUGUAUGUGGACAUACACUUUUUAUAUUUCGGGGAUCUUUUUCAUAAUGCACAUGAUGGUUGCUCUUAGAAUUGCUCAAGCACUUGUCUCUUUAUUAUGCUUUUUUCCUUUCACAACACUCACCUGUCCUGAAAGCCGUCUUAAUUUUGAAGUAGUCUGAUUUCUUUCCUAAAAAUCACACGUGCGUAUGAAAUUAAUCCACUUUCUACUUCUAGCAGAUAUUAAAAAUUUCUGUACUGUUUGGAGAAAAUUGUAUCUGAUUUGUCUUUCUAAUCAUGCAGUGUGAUUAUGGUAGAUGAAGCUCAUGAAAGGUCUCUCUCAACGGACAUCUUAUUGGGACUACUGAAAAAGGUCGAUCAGGAAGUAAUCUGUACUGGUCUUUGUAUUUUCUUUUCAUUUAAGUGCCCUUAGUUUAGUUCUUGUCUCUUAAAAUGUUAACUUUUUCUAUGGCUUCUGCAAAUUUAGAUUCAAAGGCGUCGCCCUGAACUGCGUAUUAUAAUAUCAUCAGCUACGAUUGAAGCAAAAUCAAUGGCUGCUUUCUUUAAUACCAGGUUGGUUUCUUCUUGUGAUGAGUAUUUACCGAAGCUUUAUAAUUCUAUCCUCAAAAAUUCUAGUCUGAAUCUUCUGCAUGCUUUUGGGUUAUGCUUUUUGUAUUGAGUUGUAUUCUUUGAUUGGAUAUAUCAUGUACUUUUCACCUUGUUGGGAUUAGUGCUUUGCCUUGUUUUGAAUAUGUAGUGGAAGAUGUGAACUUUUCUUGGAACAGAAAGUUCAAGAACAGGUCGUAUCUAAGUAAAUUGUUUCCAGUGCACUUCCCUUUUAGUAUUAAAUCAUUAGCUCUGAUGGUUCGCCCAAGUGGUCUUUGUGGACAGUUGAGGUAUGCGAUCUUUUCUAUCCAGGAGGUUAAGAGGGGUGAAGUAUGCGACUGGCAUCUUGGAGUUGCUCGAUAAUGUAUGGAAGAGUUUGAACACAUGCUAGCAAUUCUUUCUUCAAUACUCAAGUUUUGGCUGUAGCCUUUGUUGAAUUGAGUAGAGAAGACGAUCCUAAGAAUAAAGAUUGAGCUGAUCUUAUGCAAACUUUGGAAACAAGAAUUAUUGUUUAUUACUUUAUUGAUUAGAGGUAGAGGUAUGGACUGCGUACAUCUUACCCCCCCAGACCCCACUAAGUGGGAAUACACUGGGUUUGUUGUUGUUGUUGUUGUACUUUUUUGAUUAGUUGUUUCUGUGAGCUAAUUGAUGAAUAUUUAAUGGGGUUAAAACUAAAUAAAUACUCUUACUCUCAAAGACGAGAAUUAAAAUAAUGUGAAUAGUCAUUUAACUUUUGCUUUAUCACUCACCUUUGGUUCCUGUCUCUUGUCUCUUGGUAUUGGUUUGACACAAUGAUAUAGUGGUCCUUGUGAAGCUUAAUUUCAAGUGAUCUCAACUUGUGAAGCUUAAUUUCAAGAGAUCUCAACUUACUUCUUCAUUUGCGACCACACUCCUUUUGUGUAAAUUUAGUUAAAGGAAGUUCAAUGGGUCAUAGUGCUAGUUAGUUGGUACAUUAGUGAAUGAUGUUUCCUGCCUUUGUCUGAGCAAUGCUUACAUAGGAUUUUAUCCAUGCUAUUGAGAACAAAGACGUAAACUCUAUGGUAACGAUUGAAAUGGCUUUUGAAGAAGCAUGCGGUUGAUUAGUUACCAGAGCUACAAAAAACCUUGAACUACUUAUUUAUAUUGAUAAUUGUGAUGUCCGGGCCAGCUUGCACUCACCUCUAUUAUUUCCUUGGGAUACCAGUUACCUCCCACCAACAACAAAUACCAGGUAACCUUGUCCACCAAGCCUUUGACAAAUGGGAAGAAAUCACCUAAUGUCUUGUCUCCGCAGGGAUUUAAAUCUGAGACCUUAUGUUUCUCCUUCCACUUCAUUGACAACUAGGCAACACCCUGGGUGAAAACUUGAACUACUUAAAGGAAUGUUAAUUGCAUAAUUCUUAUUUGACACUUCAGUAUCACGAAAUAGGAUACCUUAUUUUUCCUAUGCUCUUCUGAGUAACACUAGUUUUCUGAGUUUCAACUUCCGAGCAGCCUUUGAUCCCUUUGUAUACAUGACAAUUUUCGCUUGCAUCAUAUUAUUUCAUUCUAAAAAGCAGUAAAUUCUUUUCACAGUUAUGUAUCUUCUUUUAGUGUCUAGGUUUACAGUAUGCACUAAAACUUUUAUAUGUGACCAAAAAUUAGCAGAAGACGAUGCGAGCAGGAGCAAGGACCAAUUAAAGAACCUGCUAUUCUGUCAGUUGAGGUAUAUGGAUUUGAGAGACAAUCUCUCUUUUCUGUUUGCUUUGUUUGCACAACCAAAAAUCUAUGAAGUUUAUUAACUAGAUCGCUUAUUUAAAUUGCAGCAUGACUAUUGGAUCACUAUAUAUUCUAUGAACGUCUAGGGUAGAGGAUUUUGUUUAUGAUUUUCUUUGGUUGAUUUGCAACCUUACUGAAGUAUCAUCUUCUUUCACUUUGUCCUUCUAGGGUAGGGGAUUUAAUGUUGAGAUAUUUUAUGUUGAAGAUCCCGUUUCUGAUUAUGUUUGGGCCGCUGUUUCAACAGUGAUGUCGAUCCAUGACCAGGUACACUCUAUAGGAUGACUUCGUUGUACUAUUUCGCUACAUAAUGCUCAAAUGUGAAAAAUGUUGGGAUUAGUUCUCAAUGAUGAACUAUUUCUCUACAUUUCUUUCUUUGAUUCAUAAUAUACUAACAUAAAACACUUUAUUUAUGGCUCUUCAUUGAUACUUGUAGGAACGGAUGGGAGAUAUUCUGGUGUUUCUCACUGGUCAAGAUGAUAUUGAUGCUGCAAUACAGUUGCUUACUGAAGAAGCGCAAAGUAGUGGGAAGCAAGGUCGCAAAUAAUUCUUAACCAUUGCUAAGUGAUAAUAGCAUUGCUAACACAUAAUAGAAAAGUGGUUAUAGAUAAAUACAUUGCCUUGUAUCAAAUCAAAGAAAAAAGAAAUAAAGGAUAGAUUUCAUAAUUUUUCCAAUUCACUUUUCUUGCAGGACUGGUUACUGUGCCACUAUACUCGGGACUUCCUCGAGCAGAUCAGGUAGGGUAAUGCAUCAUGCAGUUUUCAGGAUAAGAUUCGUAGAACUUUUCACCAAUUUUUUUCUCAAUUGUACAGGACCUUGUGUUUUCCCCUACUCCCAAAGGAAAAAGAAAAGUGAUAUUUUCAACAAAUAUUGCUGAGACGUCGUUGACUCUAGAGGUAUAAAUCUGAGACAUCAGUGGUCAAAUUUUUUGAGGCAUAAAUGUUAUUAUGUUUGUCUUUAUCAUAUUCCUUAGCUGAAGCGUUUCUUUCUCUUCAGGGUAUUGUCUAUGUUGUUGAUAGCGGGUUCUCAAAACAACGUUUUUACAACCCGGUACUUUUUUCUAUCUGUUUGACUUGACUCUUUUUCCAUGCUUUCUGAUCAGCUUGUUUUGGCUGAUCUUGCUGCUGUUAUUAAAAUAAAUUUCUACACACGUCGAUGUUUGACCUCUUUUAGUAGCAGUUUUCUGAGUCGUCAUUCUGGUUUUGUGCACCAUAAUCAGGAUUGACAUAUGUUACACGCAUUACCUGUUUCCAGGUGCCAUUACUCCUGACUGAGACUUUGUAGAACUUUUAUAAUAAGCUUGUGUUCUAUAAGCUUUAAUAUUUUAACCCUAAGCCUCCCCUCAUUCUUCCUAUUGGUCUCUUUGCUUAAUGUAAGCAUGGAUGCUCAAAACAUGCUUUAAUGAACAAACAUGGGAAGAUAAUUUGGCUCUGUCGCUAUCAAGUAUAUGAUCUAUAUGUUGGACUCUUGCUUCUUCUGAGGAAUACUAUCCAAUACUUCUGUAUUGAGCUUUCCCCAGUUUUGUUGAUUCAGUUUCUGGUAAUUAAUGCAUAAAGAAUGCCAUUAUAGAUGCCAAAAGGAAUUCAAUCCAUACAUGCCAAAAUAAUGCAAUAUAUGCAUGUCUUUCCUGAUAUUGUGUUUUUAUGUUGGAUCUGCUUUAAAUCAGAUUUCAGAUAUUGAGAAUUUGGUAGUGGCACCAAUAUCAAAGGCAUCUGCUCGACAAAGGGCUGGUAGAGCUGGAAGAGUUCGACCAGGAAAGUGUUUUAGGUUGGUGACUGGCCACACGUUAUAAUCUGAAACUUACUCCUAGAAGCACCACUGAAGGAGACAUAUCAUUAUGAUUGAUUUUUUUCAAAGCUUAACACUCCCGAAGUCCCAAAUUGUUCUAUCAUAUCUCCCGUUUGUCCCUAAUUAAUCUUCCAAUGGCUGACACUAAAUAUAUUUUAUUCAUGUACUGGGUCAUUUUUAUGCUAAUCAUGUUAAUAAACUAUAAAGAUCUAUUAUCUCAUCUUUCUGCAUGUGAAAAAAUUCACAUAUCUAACUCCCAACUCAAUGAAAUACUGUAAAUUUUUCUUGUCAUUGUAAAUUUAAUCCAUGUCAUUUGAUUUUAAACCGAGUAAGUACUAGUUUAUAGAACAUUUUAUGUGAAUUUGAUGAAUUGACGCCCUACUUUCCAUCAUAGAUCUUAGUUGGUGAAUAGACUCACCUAUGUUUAAUUUUUUUUUUAAAUGACUAUGUCUAAGUUUAAAUAGGAAGUAGAGAAUUCCUUAUUUGUCUCUAGUCCUGGGGAUGUUUAUAGUUACCUUUCCGUUUAAGAAAUAUAAUUGUUGACUUUUCGAUUUUUCUGUUCAGGCUCUACACAGAAGAUUAUUUUUCCAAAGAGAUGUCUGUGGUGGGAAUCCCGGAGAUACAGAGAUCAAACCUCGUUUCCUGUGUCAUCCAGGUAUGACUUUCUUGAACCAAGAAGAUACUACACCGGUGCUUUUUCUUGCUAUGACUUCUCUUUUCCUGAUGUGCAUGGAGCUCUAGAUAUGACCUCCUUAUCAGGGAGGUUGGCUAGACUGUCUGCCCUGAAAAAAUGUCACGUCUGAUCUGUUAUCAUUUAGUAACUGAAGCAUCAUUUGUCAUUGUAUAAAGUCUGCGUACAUCCUACCCUCCCCAGAACCCCACUUAUAGGGCCACACUUUGUAUGUUAUUGUUGUUGUAGUCAAGAGAAAACCAUUUAGUUAUGUAAGGGUAAGUUUUACUAUUCAAUAUUCAUGUGAACUUCAAACGGUUCUAGGCAUAACAACAGCUUGCAAAGGGAAGUGACACAUUAAAUGGUUCACUUUAGAGGUAUCCAUUUGUAAUCUCUUCUAUAAAAAUUGAAUAUGGAACAUUCCUCUGAUUGAUUAAUCCAACUCCCAACCUUUAAAUUUCAGUAAAUGUUUUCUAUAAGUAGAACACGUUGAGGAACUGUUGUGUUGCUUUUUUAUGAGCUUCAUCUUUUCAUCUCCUUUGCGGAGUCAAAUCUUCAAAUCCGAGUCUCAUCCUAUUGUUUCAGUCUGUCGAGAAAUUUCUUGGAUAUUAGCUAAUAACAUUUCUUAUCAAUGUCCCAGUUGAAGGCCUUAGGAAUCGAUAAUAUCUUAGGUUUUGAUUGGCCAGCAUCCCCAUCAGCUGAAUCGAUGAUCAGAGCACUUGAAGUACUGUAUUCUCUUGGAGUACUAGAUGACGACGCCAAACUUACUUCACCUACUGGAUUUCAAGUUGCCGAGAUUCCACUGGUAUGUUUCUGACCGACCGUCUCAUAUGCUUCAUUAAAUUUCCUCAUUUUCUUUGUCUUUGUUGUUCGGUGCAAACUUCUUUUUCCAGCUCCAGUAGCAUUGCUUGCAAGUUGGAUUCUUCUGUCAAAUUUACAACUCUGCUUCUUUUUAUGGCAUUCUCUGCUUCUUUUUAUGGCAUUCUCACCAACACUACCCCUCUUUCCCCGUUCUCCAAUAAAAGGAUUUAAAAAAAAGAAAUCCAUCAUACAGGAGUAGUGAGCAAGGAAUAUUUACGCAUUUAUACAAAAUAAAGUAACACCUUAGGGAGUGGCCUAGCGGUCGACAAAGUGAGAUGAAAACCAAGGGAGACCUGCGCUCAAAUCCCAGUUGUGGAAAAAAAUUGCUAGGUGAUAUCUUCUCACUAGCAAUUUGAAGAUAAAGUCUUUGAUUUUAUUCCUCGUCUUCUAUACGUCUAAAUGUUAAUCAAUAAAUAUCAAUUUGCACGGCCAAGAUACUGAUGCACUUCAUAUUGUUCAGUGCCAUAGGCGUGACAUCAAUAGUACGUUGAUUAACUAGAUGUUUGAUGCUUUGCCGAAGGUCUCUCAGUGUAUUACAUUUGCAAUGUGAUUCUUCAAUUCGUGAAUAUAAGAGUUUCUUACUCACUUUCUGAAACCUAUAUUGUUGUGUAGGACCCAUUAAUAUCUAAAAUGAUAUUGGCUUCUUAUGAGUUUGGAUGUUCUGAGGAAAUAAUUACCAUUGCUGCUGUGCUCUCCAUACAGGUAAAUCCUUGUCUUCCGCACCCUAAUUGAUUUAGCACUUAAACAAGACUGCUAUAUUUUGUCAGACCAACAUAUUGUUCAUUUUUGCAGUCUAUUUGGAUUCCUGUUAGAGGAGUACAGAAACAGUUGGAUGAAGCAAAAUUGAAAUUCGCAGCUGCCGAGGUUUUUGGUUUCUUCUAUUUGCUUAUUAUGUUCACCUAAGUAAUAACCUAUUUGCAUUUUACUUGAACUACAUGUUGAAGUUCAUUUACUUGAUGCAAUGCAUAAGCAGAAAUGGUUUUCCAGUCAAGAACUCAUACUGGUGCAAAAUAAUUAAAAAAGAACGGAUAUUGUGUUUGUCUUGUGAUUUCUACAAACUUGCUACUCUGCUAACUAUCACCUUCAAGGAUUAAAAAUGUCUGAUGGCGUCCAACAAAAUACCACAUGCAAUUAGAAAGUUUGUAUAGUGAUAGUCCAACCGGUAACUUUUCUGGAAAUUGGAAUUAAGAUUGCUGCCUAUUUGUUUCUAGUUAUUAACUUGUUUAGUUUUCUUCGAGUAAAUUCAUGUGUAACUUUGGCGUACCUUUUGCAGGGUGACCACGUCACAUUCUUAAAUGUGUAUAAAGGAUUCAUUCAGUCUAACAAAUCUUCAAAAUGGUGUCACAAGAAUUUUAUAAAUUAUCAUGCCAUGGUAAGUCCUAAUCCAACUUCCGUCGGAAGCAUUUUGGAUGCUCUAUUUUUUUUUACGUUGUGACAUCCUGGAUUUUUUGCCAUUGCCUUCUAUAUGCAGAGAAAAGUAAUUGAAGUUAGGGAACAGCUGAAAAGGAUUACACAACGGUUGGGCAUAGGAUUGAAAUCUUGUGAAGGGGAUAUUCAGGUAACUGAUUGCUCUCUAUGAUUAAAGAUUUAUUCAUGGGCUCAGAGAUUGCAGCGUCAUCUUUUUCUUAAUAGCAGCAUAUUUUUUUAAUACUGUUUAAAAAAUUUUAUUCUAGGGCAAUUCUUAUGAUGUAAUAAGGCGUAACUAAAUUUAGUCAUUUUGCAGGCAGUAAGGAAGGCAAUUACGGCAGGGUUUUUUGCCAAUGCUGCCCGUUUAGAAGUGAGUAUGAAAUUUAGUACAAGUCUCAUAAUUGUUUUGCCUUAAAGGCACACUCUCUUUCCAUUUCUAUUGUCUUGCUGGCCUUCAGUUUUUCUGAUAUGAACAUAUUUGAUAACGUCUAUUGCUUGUCUUUGAAACAGCCAUUCAGUCACAAUGGGAUGUACAAGACUGUCAGAACUUCUCAAGAAGUUUAUAUUCAUCCUUCAUCUGUGCUGUUCAGGUACUUCCAUAUUACAUUUUUGUCAAAACUUGAUUUGUUUGCUGAUAUUACACAGAUGUAAAAGUACUUUUCCUUAUUUGUUAUAAAACAAGGAAGUUAUAUUGUUGCUCAAUUGCUCAUUAAGCAACGGUAUACUUUUUCUGAUAUCGGAGAAAUAUCAUGAAUUGGCUCAUAGGUUCGAAUUCCAAAGAGCCUAGGCCCAACUUCUCUACACUUUUCCCAACUUAACUAUCAGUCUUUGGCUGCAUCAGUGUUCAAAUCCUUGAGAUGUGCCUAACCGAAACAUCACGUGAUGCUUCCUUAACAGUGGAUCAAAAGCCGGGUGGGCUAAGAAGAUCCAUGUUCGCUGAGUCAAAUACAUAAUUAAAAAGCAGUCAAUGUCUCAAAUUGUUGCAUGGUUUGGUCUAGAAUUGGUUCCUUCUUGUCGUCAUCUUUCCUUCUAUAUGUGCCUGUAUGCGUGGACACUGACAUAUUUCCAAGGAGAACAUAGCUGCACUCCCCUCGUGACUACAUAUUCAUUCAGGGGACAUCACGGAUUUUGAUUAGCAUUGCCUAUUUUCCUAUGUUCUGUUACAUCUUAAAGUUUAUAAUGUGUUCUCUCGAAUAUAACAGGGUCAACCCAAAGUUUAUUGUGUACCAUUCUCUUGUUUCAACUGAUCGUCAGUACAUGCGAAAUGUCAUUACUAUCGAUCCUUCUUGGCUAACGGAGGCUGCACCACAUUUUUACCAGAAGCAGCUGCAUAGUUCUGUUCCUCAAUGAUGCACAAAAUUUUCAAAGAUGCUUCUUGGCAGCCUCAGUUUUGUCUGAAAAUUUUGUUAUGUGUAAACCUUUUUAAAUAAAUUGUAAAUUGGCUAUACUUUCUCUCUAUGGUGGAGCUACGUAGGCUCGAGGGAGGUCAGUUAAACGUCUUUCGCUUGAAAAUUCUACUGUGUAUAUAGGUCGAAUAUUACUUUUCUGUACAUUAUAUUAUAUUGAAUAUUGAACAUUCUUAACGAAAUUGCUCCCUUUGCCAUUGUUUAAAUCUCAUUUAGAUUUAAAAAUAAAAUAAAAAAUUGGGGUAGCGGAAGGGGAAAUGGAGAGGGAAUUACAAUGUGGAGAACCGAACCCUCGCCAACAACGCGGGAGUUCAGGUAGCCAAUCAACUGAGCUGCUAAGAUUCACCAAAUCGCGUUUAGAUGUUAUAAACAAAAUUACAAAAAAAAUUGUUUUCUUGUACUAAGAAGAUGAAAUGUAUUUGUUAAUCAAUUUAACAAAGACACUUUGGAUAUUUCUUUCCCACAACAACACAAUAAUAUUGACAAUGUAGCCAUUAAAUAGUUUUGUUUAGAGGGAAAUUAUUAGCUUUUGUGCUUUUUUUUUAUAUUAGUUUUCUCAUAUGUAGGUCGUUGAUCAAAUCAUAUCAAAAUAUUAUUUUCUUUUAAUAUGUUUUUCUUUAUCGUCUAAUUUAUCAUCAUCAAUGUGUUUGCAAUUACUAGCUUUCCACAUGUCGCAUUGAUUAUUUGGAUCCCAACAAGUUCUUGUUUACUUAUUUGUAUUCCGAAUCCUUCUUGAUUUUGCCACUAUAAUACUAAGCAUGAAAGAAUAAGUCUUGGUAUACAAAUUUAAUCAACAUGAUAAUACUCAACUUAGUACAUAAUUGUAUUUUCUUGAAUUAUAAGUAGAGUACAACACACACUCAUAGAAAUUACUUACUAACGGAUAUAUAAUGUGUACGCAAAUCUUAUCUCUAACUUGGAAGGUAGAGAGACUGUCUUCGAUAAUAAUGUGUACGUAGAUCUUACCUCUAACUCGAAAGGUAGAGAGACCGUCUUCGAUAAGCCUUAACUCAAUCAAAAAUAUAUAUUAAAGCAGUUGGAGAACACACAAUACAAUUAGUACAUACUCUUAACUAAUAAUUAGGAAGUAUAAUAUUUGCAAAUGUCAAGCAACUGAUCACCAAACUCACAACCUCUUUUGUAUACUAAGUUCAUAAUCAGGGGCGGAGCUACCCUUAUGCAAGAGGGUUUAUCCGAACCUUUACAUAUUUAUUUUUGAACUCUCUUAAUGAAAAUCCUGAUUGUCCAAAAUAAUUUUUAUAUAUUUAAUUUAUGUGGUUGUAAAUCAUUUUAUUAAGGAUAAAAAGAAAUUUUUAAAGUUAAAUUGUUUCUAAUUAUAAUAAAGUGACGUAAUUUUCAUCACCAAAGGAUGUGGUGCAGUGGAUGGACUGCUCUUCUCUUAACCAGAGAGGUCUCGGGUUUGAGUCCUGGGUAUGAAAAAAUCUUUGGUAAGGAGCGCUACCCCUCGAAUGGGGCUCUACUCGGCGCGAAUCUAGACUAGUGGGCUCCAAUGUGGAUAUCAGACAUCAGAUGGGAAACGAAAAAAAAAAAAAACCAUAAUUUUCGAUCGAGAUGGACAAAAAAAAGGGAUCGAUGUCAUAUAAAAUGGGACGAAAAGAGUACUAUUACUAUUGUAGAUUCACCCUUGAUUAACAUGUAUUUGAGAUUUUCAAUGUUGCGAUAAUUAAUAUUAUUUAAGAUUUCACAAUUUUAAUAUGGUAUCAGAGCAAACCAACCUUCAUUAGCCGCCUUAGGUAUAACGUUCACAGGGAUUUCUGGAAUUGAAAAUGGAAAUGCAGCAACCUGUAAGGAUAUUAUUAUUGGAAAAAUAGCCAAAGAAAGGCAAACCAACAGAAAUGUCUUGGAACUACAACUCAUUUUUCCUUUUUUUCUUUAAAGAUUAAUUAGUAUUUUAU